AGAUCCUGAAAUUCCUCUUCCUUAUUUUCUAAGACAUAGGUAGGAAAAAAGUUAUCAAAGAAUGUAUUCAUGAAAACUUCUUAGGUGGUAGGGGUAGGCAAGACUUCAUUCUUAAGGUACCACUAGUAUUUGACUUCACUGUUUAGCAUAAAGGCUGCUAGGGGAACCUUUUAUUCCUCAGUUAGGUGAAAGAUAGAGAAAAGCUUCUCUAUUUGUAGGAUCCAAGCUUCAGCUAUUAAAGGGUCAGGCCUACCUUCGAAAUGUGGCGGGUUAAG
rnacentral:lncRNA from 1 species